CCAAGGAAGGCGGCUCUCCACGCAGCCAAGUGCACGGUCCCAGCACAGCCUGUAACCGGAGCCCUGGAAGAGCAUCAGGAACGUGACAUCAGGGUGGCAUUUGCAGCCUUGCCCCGACAGUUCUCCUCCCUACCUGUGACCCGAGACAUCGCUCCAACCUAUGUGGGAGAGUAAGAAUUUUCCCUGAACCUGUGACCACCGGGGAGUUUCUGAACAGACUGUGACUACUGGAACCAACCCUCUUAUCUGCUCUCCUGAUCGCUGCCUGUGUCAUUGCUCUGAGCUCUACCUACCCAGCUCAGGAGCAACGCCCAGCAAUUAGCAGCCAACUGGGUGAUGAAGAUCUGGCUGGAUGGUGAUGGUCUUCAGAUACCACCCCAGGGCCUUCCCGAUUCUGCAGAACUUCCCUUGGGUCUCUUGCAUGUCGUGGAGUGGAGGGAACAUACUGUUUCCCUUCGGGCAGUUCCUCCUGCCAAGAAAUAUGGUCUCAGCAAACUGGUUUGCUGGUUUGCAUCUGCACAUCUCUCCCUCUCUCCCCUCCU